rnacentral:rRNA from 1 species
AACUAUAACGGUCCUAAGGUAGCGAAAUUCCUUGUCAGGUAAGUUCUGACCCGCAUGAAAGGCGUAAUGAUUUGGGCACUGUCUCAACAGCCCGCCCGGCGAAAUUGUAGUACCGGUGAAGAUGCCGGUUACCCGCGACAAGACGGAAAGACCCCAUGGAGCUUUACUGUAGCCUAAUAUUGGGUUUCGAUGUUGCAUGCACAGGAUAGAUGGGACACUGGGAAACAAUCGCUUUGGCGUUUGCGGAGUGGCCGUUGGGAUACCAUCCUUGCGAUAUUGGAAUUCUAACCUGCGGCUCUGAAUCGAGUCGGGGGACAUUGUUAGGUGGGCAGUUUGACUGGGGCGGUCGCCUCCUAAAGAGUAACGGAGGCGUUCAAAGGUUCGCUCAGCUUGAACGGAAAUCAAGCAAAAGAGUGCAAACGCAGAAGCGAGCCUAACUGCGAGACUGACGGGUCGAGCAGUAACGAAAGUUGGAGUUAGUGAUCCGGUGGUAUGUGAGUGGAAAUGCCAUCGCUCAACGGAUAAAAGCUACCCUGGGGAUAACAGGCUGAUCUCCCCCAAGCGUCCACAGCGACGGGGAGGUUUGGCACCUCGAUGUCGGCUCGUCACAUCCUGGGGCUGAAUUCGGUCCCAAGGGUUCGGCUGUUCGCCGAUUAAAGUGGCACGCGAGCUGGGUUCAGAACGUCGUGAGACAGUUCGGUCCCUAUCUGUUGCGGGCGUAAGAGAUUUGAAGGGAGCUGUCCUUAGUACGAGAGGACCGGGAUGGACGUACCUCUGGUGCACCAGUUGUCCUGCCAAGGGCAUAGCUGGGUAGCUAUGUACGGACGAGAUAAACGCUGAAAGCAUCUAAGCGUGAAACUCCCCCUAAGAUGAGAUCUCUCAUCCUUCAAGGAGUAAGGACCCAGAAAGACGAUCUGGUUGAUAGGCCGAAGGUGGAAGCGCAGUAAUGUGUGCAGCUGAUCGGUACUAAUAGUCCGAGGGCUUGACCUA